rnacentral:rRNA from 1 species
AACGAACGCUGGCGGCAUGCCUAACACAUGCAAGUCGAACGAGACCUUCGGGUCUAGUGGCGCACGGGUGCGUAACGCGUGGGAACCUGCCCUUAGGUUCGGAAUAACUCCCCGGAAGGGGUGCUAAUACCGGAUAAUGUCUUCGGACCAAAGAUUUAUCGCCUUUGGAUGGGCCCGCGUUGGAUUAGCUAGUUGGUAGGGUAAAAGCCUACCAAGGCGACGAGCCAUAGCGGGUCUGAGAGGAGGAUCAGCCACACUGGGACUGAGACACGGCCCAGACUCCUACGGGAGGCAGCAGUGGGGAAUAUUGGACAAUGGGCGAAAGCCUGAUCCAGCAAUGCCGCGUGAGUGAUGAAGGCCUUAGGGUUGUAAAGCUCUUUUACCCGGGAUGAUAAUGACAGUACCGGGAGAAUAAGCUCCGGCUAACUCCGUG